rnacentral:lncRNA from 1 species
AAAGUGCAGAGUGGUAGAACAGAUCAGGCAUCUGCUAAAGGAUGAUGAAGAAAUCAGGAUUUAUAUGGGAGCAAAUGGCUUUAUCGAAGCAUUACUAGGAUUUUUGGAGUGUGCUGUACAAACCAGGAACGAGAUUGCUCAAGAAACCGGAACCAUGGCCCUCUUCAACCUUGGUGUGAAUAAUUCAGGAAUGAGAUUGCUCAAGAAACCGGAACCAUGGCCCUCUUCAACCUUGGUGUGAAUAAUAACAGGUGUGUUCUCUUGUGGGUUAUAAUAUUAUGGUAGUAGAAUUGCAGAUCAGUUUUUCCUAAGGACCUCUAACUAAGGAAGAUAGAUAGUACUGAUUCUGUCCAGUUGUCAAAUAUUCCAUGCCUUUCAGAUGAACUUCUUGCAUUGGCAUCCCAUAAAUCAAAUAGCUUUGAAUUUCUUGUUAUCUUUCAUUGGUCCACAAAUUACUGCAUCUUUCUGGAGAAAGUUUCUCUAUUUUUCAGUCAUUCAACUCCAGAUUUCAUCUUAGAAAACAAAAUAGGUAUCAUUUGUUUUAUGGUGUACUUGUUCGCUUUGUUCUUGAACUGUCUUGUCAUGGUACAUGCUUUGGUAGUGUUCUUUUCUAUUGAGUUUUUGCUUGUAGGUAGGAUAUUCAUAUAGACUGGCUUCAGUAAUUAAGGUGAAUUUCCAAUUUCAUUUUGCUUAUGGUGUAGCACAGGUUGAUUUCAGACAGCUAUAAUCUUGAUUUUGUUGAAUGAAAAUCAUGUAAAGCAGACGGAAUUAGGUUAACAGGUACUUGAACUUAUCCAAAACUAAAUACAAGAACAGAUUAACAAGCACAUGAUUAUAUGUAUUUCUAGAUAUCUUAAAUUGGAUCUGCUUAG